rnacentral:rRNA from 1 species
CCUACGGGUGGCAGCAGUGAGGAAUAUUGGUCAAUGGGCGCGAGCCUGAACCAGCCACGUCGCGUGAGGGAAGACGGUCCUAUGGAUUGUAAACCUCUUCUGCUGGGGAGCAAAAGACGCCACGCGUGGCGUUCCGAGAGUACCCGAAGAAAAAGCAUCGGCUAACUCCGGGCCAGCAGCCGCGGUAAUACGGAGGAUGCGAGCGUUAACCGGGUUUAUUGGGUUUAAUGGGUGCGCAGGCGGAAGACCAAGCCAGCGGUAAAAUUGGGGGGCUAAACCUCUUCGGGCCGUUGAAACUGGUUUUCUUGAGUGAGUGAGAAGUAUGCGGAAUGCGUGGUGUAGCGGUGAAAUGCAUAGAUAUCACGCAGAACUCCGAUUGCGAAGGCAGCAUACCGGCGCUCAACUGACGCUCAGGCACGAAAGUGUGUGUAUCGAACAGGAUUAGAUACCCGUGUAGUC